UCCUCGGGGACGCAGCAGUAGGGAAUCUUGCGCAAUGGGCGAAAGCCUGAGGCAGCCAUGCCGCGUGAAUGAUGAAGGUCUUAGGAUUGUAAAAUUCUUUCACCGGGGAUGAUAAUGACGGUACCCGGAGAAGAAGCUCCGGCUAACUUCGUGCCAGCAGCCGCGGUAAUACGAAGGGGGCUAGCGUUGCUCGGAAUUACUGGGCGUAAAGGGUGCGUAGGCGGACAGUUUAGUCAGAGGUGAAAGCCCAGGGCUCAACCUUGGAAUAGCCUUUGAUACUGGCUGUCUUGAGUGCGGGAGAGGUGUGUGGAACUCCGAGUGUAGAGGUGAAAUUCGUAGAUAUUCGGAAGAACACCAGUGGCGAAGGCGACACACUGGCCCGUUACUGACGCUGAGGCGCGAAAGCGUGGGGAGCAAACAGGAUUAGAUACCCUGGUAGUCCACGCUGUAAACGAUGAGUGCUAGUUGUCGGCAUGCAUGCAUGUCGGUGACGCAGCUAACGCAAUAAGCACUCCGCCUGGAGAG
rnacentral:rRNA from 1 species